AUUUGUACAUUUAUUUUAUAAUUUUUUUUUUAUAAGGCUUAUAGGCGAUUCACUUGGAACAGGUGCGAUGUUGCAGGGAACAGCUUAGAUGAUUGAGUCGGUGUAGUGUGAAAGCUUGGAAGGAGUGGAUACCAAAACUAACGAAGGUUCUUUCACAGGGCGGACACUAUUAGAGAACAGAUAUGGGACAGACCUGAGAGAGUGCUCUGCAAAACUGAAAAGUUGAUUUUAAGUUGUUAACCAUGAUUGGAAAUGUAUUACGGAACGUUUGUUUUCAAAGGCGGAUGCUAUAAAUGGAAAUAAUUAUUAAUUUAUAUCAUAGAAAUCCCUAAACAAAAAUGGCACAUUUCUUGCUUUGGGAACGGACAAAUAAAUCUUCUUGGUUCUAUAAAACAAUUGGCCGGUCAAAGAGCAAUUACACUGCUCCAGUGUGGUCUCCUUCAUUGAGAUAACCCAGUGGAGAAAUAUUCAAAGUUGCCUAAGCUCACGAGGAAACAAAGGUCGCCCCAGCCAAAGAACAUAAUGUCAUGCUGACUAAACAGUUUCUCCGGGGAUUUCAUCGGUUUAAGUGUAUACGAGAAAAGGAUACGAAGAUAUGCUGAAUUCUCUUAUCCCAAUUGAUUGAUGGACUAACCCUGUAGAAGUAGCCCAAUUUCUUGGCAUGGACCUAAAUACAGAACCCCGGAUUAAAAUUGUAUAGUUAAAGUUAUUACAACGACUUGUAAUGAAAUGGCUGCAGUUGGAAUGUACUAAAACAAUAUGUAGUCUGGAGCAACGAGUAUUAAUAUUAUUUUAGAUCUUUUGGUUUAAAAUUUGUUCCAGGCGUGGAUAAUGCAUUAAGGAAUUCAUCGGUUUGUUUUCUAGUCCGGUAGACCGGAGGUGGUGAAUUCAAUUUCCACCUUAGGCUCAGUAGUUCACAGCAGGUGCUGAUGUUUUGUCACUGAUAGAAAAUGUUGCGUGUGUUUGUACUUUUAGGCAAUAACGAGGUUCGAGGGAGGUAUAUUAUCACAACUACAUC